UUCAUAUUUUUUAUUUUAUUUAAAAGUAUAUAUUAUUGGCAUAUGGUUAAGUUGAAGUUUAUUUUUUUGUUCAUUAAAAAAGUUAAAUUUAAAAGUUGAAUAUAAAGAAAGUUUAAUAUGGACAUAUACAUAUAUACUUGUAUUCUCUUGUUAAUAUAUUAUAUUAUUUAUUAUUAAUAUAAGAAAUUCUUGGUAUAUGAGAAUAAAACAUUGUCCAUAUUAAAUUAAUAUAAAACAUGGAUCACGUGAUAUUUGUUAUUUCGUUGUUUCAAAUUAUAAGGUAAUGUAUAUAAUGAAUGUACACAUAAUAUGUAUAAUUAUAUAUAUAAAUAGAAAUGUUGUGCGUAAUGUAUUCAUAUAUUUCUUGAAAAAUAUUUAUACCUUCCUUUUUAUUGUUUAAUAUUUCCAUUUUUCUUUAACACUAUAAUUUUUUUUAUGUAACUUCAUUUUUUUUUUUUUAAAUUCAAUGGAAAAAUAAAAUAAUUGUAAAAAUAUAGAGAUGAUGUUCUAUCAAACGAUAUAAUAAGCAUAUCACAUAUAAAUUAUUAUGUCAUAUAAAUUAUUAUGUAUGAAAUAUUAAAUAUAUUGUAUAUAAAUAUAUAACCUUUAAAAUAUAUACAUUUUUUAAUAUAUAAAUAAUAUACAUAUUACAUAUAUAGAAUUUUAUUUAAAAAAAUAAUUUCCAUAUCGCAAUAUUUUUUUUUACACACAAAGUAAUAUGCACUUCCAAUGAUAUAUAUAAUAUGUAUAACAUAUUUUAUUUAUGUACAUUUUUUUUUUUUUUUAUAUAUAUAUAUUUUAACAAAAUGUAAAAAUACUAUAAUUAACAAAAAAAAAAAAAAAAAAAAAAAAAAAAAAAAAAAUAAAUGUAUGGUAUAAUAAUAUACAUUAUUUCAUAUCUUUAUGAUAUUAUAAAUUAUUAUUAUUAUUAUUUUUUUUUUUUUUUUUUUUUUUUUGCGUAUAUUGUAAAAUAGGAACUGCAUAUGCAUGUAAUUUUUAUGUAUAUAUAAUAUUUUUCUUCAUUAUUAUGUGUAUUAUUUUAUUUCAUAUUAUAUAUUUUACCACGUUUACACGUAACGCAUGUUCAUUUUUUUUGUGAGCGCAUCGGAUGUAUGAUAUGUAAAAAGAAGAAAUAAAAUAUGAAAAGUUUAAAAUAUAUAAAAAAAUAAAUAUCUUUUU
rnacentral:sRNA from 1 species